rnacentral:rRNA from 1 species
CCCCGGCGAGGGGAGUGAAAAAGAACCUGAAACCGUGUACGUACAAGCAGUGGGAGCACAGAGCAAUCUGUGUGACUGCGUACCUUUUGUAUAAUGGGUCAGCGACUUAUAUUCUGUAGCAAGGUUAACCGAAUAGGGGAGCCGAAGGGAAACCGAGUCUUAACUGGGCGUUAAGUUGCAGGGUAUAGACCCGAAACCCGGUGAUCUAGCCAUGGGCAGGUUGAAGGUUGGGUAACACUAACUGGAGGACCGAACCGACUAAUGUUGAAAAAUUAGCGGAUGACUUGUGGCUGGGGGUGAAAGGCCAAUCAAACCGGGAGAUAGCUGGUUCUCCCCGAAAGCUAUUUAGGUAGCGCCUCGUGAAUUCAUCUCCGGGGGUAGAGCACUGUUUCGGCAAGGGGGUCAUCCCGACUUACCAACCCGAUGCAAACUGCGAAUACCGGAGAAUGUUAUCACGGGAGACACACGGCGGGUGCUAACGUCCGUCGUGAAGAGGGAAACAACCCAGACCGCCAGCUAAGGUCCCAAAGUCAUGGUUAAGUGGGAAACGAUGUGGGAAGGCCCAGACAGCCAGGAUGUUGGCUUAGAAGCAGCCAUCAUUUAAAGAAAGCGUAAUAGCUCACUGGUCGAGUCGGCCUGCGCGGAAGAUGUAACGGGGCUAAACCAUGCACCGAAGCUGCGGCAGCGACGCUGAUGCGUUGUUGGGUAGGGGAGCGUUCUGUAAGCCUGUGAAGGUGUGCUGUGAGGCAUGCUGGAGGUAUCAGAAGUGCGAAUGCUGACAUAAGUAACGAUAAAGCGGGUGAAAAGCCCGCUCGCCGGAAGACCAAGGGUUCCUGUCCAACGUUAAUCGGGGCAGGGUGAGUCGACCCCUAAGGCGAGGCCGAAAGGCGUAGUCGAUGGGAAACAGGUUAAUAUUCCUGUACUUGGUGUUACUGCGAAGGGGGGACGGAGAAGGCUAUGUUGGCCGGGCGACGGUUGUCCCGGUUUAAGCGUGUAGGCUGGUUUUCCAGGCAAAUCCGGAAAACUAAGGCUGAGGCGUGAUGACGAGGCACUACGGUGCUGAAGCAACAAAUGCCCUGCUUCCAGGAAAAGCCUCUAAGCAUCAGGUAACAUCAAAUCGUACCCCAAACCGACACAGGUGGUCAGGUAGAGAAUACCAAGGCGCUUGAGAGAACUCGGGUGAAGGAACUAGGCAAAAUGGUGCCGUAACUUCGGGAGAAGGCACGCUGAUAUGUAGGUGAAGUCCCUCGCGGAUGGAGCUGAAAUCAGUCGAAGAUACCAGCUGGCUGCAACUGUUUAUUAAAAACACAGCACUGUGCAAACACGAAAGUGGACGUAUACGGUGUGACGCCUGCCCGGUGCCGGAAGGUUAAUUGAUGGGGUCAGCGCAAGCGAAGCUCUUGAUCGAAGCCCCGGUAAACGGCGGCCGUAACUAUAACGGUCCUAAGGUAGCGAAAUUCCUUGUCGGGUAAGUUCCGACCUGCACGAAUGGCGUAAUGAUGGCCAGGCUGUCUCCACCCGAGACUCAGUGAAAUUGAACUCGCUGUGAAGAUGCAGUGUACCCGCGGCAAGACGGAAAGACCCCGUGAACCUUUACUAUAGCUUGACACUGAACAUUGAGCCUUGAUGUGUAGGAUAGGUGGGAGGCUUUGAAGUGUGGACGCCAGUCUGCAUGGAGCCGACCUUGAAAUACCACCCUUUAAUGUUUGAUGUUCUAACGUUGACCCGUAAUCCGGGUUGCGGACAGUGUCUGGUGGGUAGUUUGACUGGGGCGGUCUCCUCCUAAAGAGUAACGGAGGAGCACGAAGGUUGGCUAAUCCUGGUCGGACAUCAGGAGGUUAGUGCAAUGGCAUAAGCCAGCUUGACUGCGAGCGUGACGGCGCGAGCAGGUGCGAAAGCAGGUCAUAGUGAUCCGGUGGUUCUGAAUGGAAGGGCCAUCGCUCAACGGAUAAAAGGUACUCCGGGGAUAACAGGCUGAUACCGCCCAAGAGUUCAUAUCGACGGCGGUGUUUGGCACCUCGAUGUCGGCUCAUCACAUCCUGGGGCUGAAGUAGGUCCCAAGGGUAUGGCUGUUCGCCAUUUAAAGUGGUACGCGAGCUGGGUUUAGAACGUCGUGAGACAGUUCGGUCCCUAUCUGCCGUGGGCGCUGGAGAACUGAGGGGGGCUGCUCCUAGUACGAGAGGACCGGAGUGGACGCAUCACUGGUGUUCGGGUUGUCAUGCCAAUGGCACUGCCCGGUAGCUAAAUGCGGAAGAGAUAAGUGCUGAAAGCAUCUAAGCACGAAACUUGCCCCGAGAUGAGUUCUCCCUGACUCCUUGAGAGUCCUGAAGGAACGUUGAAG